rnacentral:tRNA from 3 species
AAUGAAGUGCCUGAUUAAAGGACUAUCUUGAUAGGAUAGAUAAAGUAAUUUUAUUACCUUCAUUA